GAUGAAGAACGUAGCGAAAUGCGAUAAGUAAUGCGAAUUGCAGAAUUUCCGUGAGUCAUCGAAUCUUUGAACGCACAUUGCGCCCACUGGUAUUCCGGUGGGCAUGCCUGUUCGAGCGUCAUUAUCCUCCCUCAAACCUCGGGUUUGGUGUUGGACUCAAGUUGUGUGAACAACUGGUCUCAAAGACAAUGACGGCGUCCGUGGGACCCUCGGUGCAACGAGCUUUUAAACGAGCACGCGUCGAGUUUCAAGGACCUUCCGGGCCGGUCUCCUUCUUUUAUUUACAAAGGUUGACCUCGGAUCAGGUAGGAAUACCCGCUGAACUUAAGCAUAUCAAUAAGCGGAGGA
rnacentral:misc_RNA from 1 species